rnacentral:rRNA from 1 species
UAAUGGCCCACCAAGGCGAAGAUCGGUAGCCGGCCUGAGGGGGCGCACCGCCACACUGGAACUGAAACACGGUCCAUACUCCUACGGGAGGCAGCGGUGGGGAAUUUUGCGCAAUGGGGGAAACCCUGACCCACAACGCCGCGUGGAGGAUGAAGUCCCUUGGGACGUAAACUCCUUUCCACCCGGACGAUAAUGACGGUACGGGUGGAAGAAGCCCCGGCUAACUUGGUGCCAGCCCCCGCGGUAAUACGAGGGGAGCAAGCGUUGUUCUGAUUUAUUGGGCGUAAAGGGUGCGUAGGCUGUUUGGCAAGUCUUAUGUGAAAUCUUCGGGCUCAACCCGAAUCCUGCAUAAGAAACUGCCCGGGCUUGAGUAUUGGGAGACGUGGGUGGAAUUUCCGGUGUGGCGGUGAAAUG